rnacentral:misc_RNA from 1 species
CGCACCUUGCGCUUCUUGGUAUUCCGAGAAGCAUGCCUGUUUGAGUGUCAUAAAAUUCUCAAGUCUUGAAUCUAGCUUAGAAUCAGACUUGGAUUUAUGGAAGUUGCUGGCUUUUUAAAAAAAAUGAGUUAGCUCUUCUUAAAUAAAUUAGCAAGAUAACUGCUAAUCAUCAUUUGAUAUGAUAAAUUAUCUAUAUCAUUGAUAAAUAGCAUUUUGCUUCUAAUAACUUCUUUUCUACAUUGUGUUUGACCUCAAAUCAGGUAGGAUUACCCGCUGAACUUAA